ACGGAAGGCAGCAGUGGGGAAUAUUGGGCAAUGGGCGAAAGCCUGACCCAGCAACGCCGCGUGAAGGAAGAAGGUCUUCGGAUUGUAAACUUCUUUUAUGAGGGCCGAAGGACGUGACGGUACCUCAUGAAUAAGCCACGGCUAACUACGUGCCCGCAGCCGCGGUAAUACGUAGGUGGCAAGCGUUAUCCGGAGUUACUGGGUGUAAAGGGCGCGUAGGCGGGGAUGCCAGUCAGAUGUGAAAUCUAUGGGCGUAACUCAUAAACUGCAUUGGAAACUGUAUUUCUUGAGUGCUGGAGAGGUAGAUGGAAUUCCUUGUGUAGCGGUGAAAUGCGUAGAUAUAAGGAAGAACACCAGUGGCGAAGGCGAUCUACUGGACAGUAAUUGACGCUGAGGCGCGAAAGCGUGGGGAGCAAACAGGAUUAGAUACCCUGGUA
rnacentral:rRNA from 1 species